UACGGGAUAAUAUAUUUGAGAGGCAUCUCUUGAAUAUCAAAGGUGAGCCAGUACAGGAUGGACCCGCGUCUGAUUAGCUAGUUGGUAAGGUAAUGGCUUACCAAGGCGACGAUCAGUAGCCGACCUGGGAGGGUGAUCGGCCACAUUGGAACUGAGACACGGUCCAAACUCCUACGGGAGGCAGCAGUGGGGAAUAUUGCACAAUGGGCGAAAGCCUGAUG
rnacentral:rRNA from 1 species